rnacentral:rRNA from 1 species
CCUACGGGAGGCAGCAGUAGGGAAUCUUCCACAAUGGGCGAAAGCCUGAUGGAGCAACGCCGCGUGGGUGAAGAAGGUCUUCGGAUCGUAAAACCCUGUUGUUAGAGAAGAAAGUGCGUGAGAGUAACUGUUCACGUUUCGACGGUAUCUAACCAGAAAGCCACGGCUAACUACGUGCCAGCAGCCGCGGUAAUACGUAGGUGGCAAGCGUUAUCCGGAUUUAUUGGGCGUAAAGGGAACGCAGGUGGUCUUUUAAGUCUGAUGUGAAAGCCUUCGGCUUAACCGGAGUAGUGCAUUGGAAACUGGGAGACUUGAGUGCAGAAGAGGAGAGUGGAACUCCAUGUGUAGCGGUGAAAUGCGUAGAUAUAUGGAAGAACACCAGUGGCGAAAGCGGCUCUCUGGACUGUAACUGACGCUGAGGUUCGAAAGCGUGGGUAGCAAACAGGAUUAGAUACCCUAGUAGUC